rnacentral:rRNA from 1 species
GGUUAAGUGAAUAAGGGCGCACGGUGGAUGCCUUGGCACUAGGAGCCGAUGAAGGACGGGACUAACACCGAUAUGCUUUGGGGAGCUGUAAGUAAGCUAUGAUCCAGAGAUUUCCGAAUGGGGGAACCCAAUAUCUUUUAUAGGAUAUUACUUUUCAGUGAAUACAUAGCUGAUUAGAGGUAGACGCAGAGAACUGAAACAUCUUAGUACCUGCAGGAAGAGAAAGAAAAUUCGAUUCCCUGAGUAGCGGCGAGCGAAACGGGAAGAGCCCAAACCAACAAGCUUGCUUGUUGGGGUUGUAGGACUCCAAUAUGGUAGUCUGUUAGUAUAGUUGAAGGAUUUGGAAAAUUCCGCUAAAGAGGGUGAAAGCCCCGUAGACGAAAUGCUAACAACACCUAGGAGGAUCCUGAGUACGGCGGAACACGAGAAAUUCCGUCGGAAUCCGCGGGGACCAUCCCGCAAGGCUAAAUACUCCCUAGUGACCGAUAGUGAACCAGUACCGUGAGGGAAAGGUGAAAAGCACCCCGGAAGGGGAGUGAAAUAGAUCCUGAAACCGUGUGCCUACAACAAGUCAAAGCUCGUUAAUGAGUGAUGGCGUGCCUUUUGUAGAAUGAACCGGCGAGUUACGAUUGCAUGCGAGGUUAAGUCGAAGAGACGGAGCCGCAGCGAAAGCGAGUCUGAAUAGGGCGAAUGAGUAUGUAGUCGUAGACCCGAAACCAUGUGAUCUACCCAUGUCCAGGUUGAAGGUGCGGUAAAACGCACUGGAGGACCGAACCCACGUACGUUGAAAAGUGCGGGGAUGAGGUGUGGGUAGCGGAGAAAUUCCAAACGAACUUGGAGAUAGCUGGUUCCGUAGUCGAAAGGGAAACAGCCCAGACCACCAGCUAAGGUCCCAAAAUAUAUGUUAAGUGGAAAAGGAUGUGGGGUUGCACAGACAACUAGGAUGUUGGCUUAGAAGCAGCCACCAUUUAAAGAGUGCGUAAUAGCUCACUAGUCGAGUGACCCUGCGCCGAAAAUGUACCGGGGCUAAACAUAUUACCGAAGCUGUGGACUACACCAUUAGGUGUAGUGGUAGGAGAGCGUUCUAAGGGCGUUGAAGGUCGAUCGUGAGGACGGCUGGAGCGCUUAGAAGUGAGAAUGCCGGUAUGAGUAGCGAAAGACAGGUGAGAAUCCUGUCCACCGUAUGACUAAGGUUUCCUGGGGAAGGCUCGUCCGCCCAGGGUUAGUCGGGACCUAAGCCGAGGCCGAUAGGCGUAGGCGAUGGACAACAGGUUGAUAUUCCUGUACCAGUUGUUUUUGUUUGAGCAAUGGAGGGACGCAGUAGGCUAAGGAAUGCAUGCGAUUGGAAGUGCAUGUCCAAGCAAUGAGUCUUGAGUAGAGUUAAAUGCUUUACUCUCUAAGGACAAGUUGUGACGGGGAGCGAAAUAAUAGUAGCGAAGUUCCUGAUGUCACACUGCCAAGAAAAGCUUCUAGUGAGAAAACAACUGCCCGUACCGUAAACCGACACAGGUAGUCGAGGAGAGUAUCCUAAGGUGAGCGAGCGAACUCUCGUUAAGGAACUCGGCAAAAUGACCCCGUAACUUCGGGAGAAGGGGUGCUGACUUCGGUCAGCCGCAGUGAAUAGGCCCAAGCGACUGUUUAUCAAAAACACAGGUCUCUGCAAAAUCGUAAGAUGAAGUAUAGGGGCUGACGCCUGCCCGGUGCUGGAAGGUUAAGAGGAUGGGUUAGCUUCGGCGAAGCUCAGAAUUGAAGCCCCAGUAAACGGCGGCCGUAACUAUAACGGUCCUAAGGUAGCGAAAUUCCUUGUCGGGUAAGUUCCGACCCGCACGAAAGGCGUAACGA